rnacentral:rRNA from 1 species
UACGGGGGGUGCGAGCGUUGUCCGGAAUCACUGGGCGUAAAGGGCGCGUAGGUGGUUUGAUAAGGGUGUGGUGAAAGUCCGGAGCUCAACUCCGGAUCUGCCGUGCCGACUGUCAAACUCGAGGGCUGUAGAGGCAGACGGAAUUCCGGGUGUAGCGGUGGAAUGCGUAGAGAUCCGGAGGAAGACCGGUGGCGAAGGCGGUCUGCUGGGCAGUUUCUGACACUGAGGCGCGACGAGCGUGGGGAGCAAACAGG